UACGUAGGGGCCGAGCGCUGUCCGGAGUUAUUGGGCGUAAAGCGCGCGCAGGCGGCCUCGCGCGCCCGACGUGAAAGCCCCCGGCUUAACCGGGGAGGGUCGUUGGGGACGGCGGGGCUUGAGGGCGGGAGAGGGCGGUGGAAUUCCCGGUGUAGUGGUGAAAUGCGUAGAGAUCGGGAGGAACACCUGUGGCGAAGGCGGCCGUCUGGGCCGACCCUGACGCUGAGGCGCGAAGGCGUGGGGAGCGAACGGG
rnacentral:rRNA from 1 species